rnacentral:rRNA from 2 species
UCAGGACGAACGCUGGCGGCGUGCCUAAUACAUGCAAGUCGAACGCUUCUUUUCCCACCGGAGCUUGCUCCACCGGGAAAAGAGGAGUGGCGAACGGGUGAGUAACACGUGGGUAACCUGCCCAUCAGAAGGGGAUAACACUUGGAAACAGGUGCUAAUACCGUAUAACAAUCGAAACCGCAUGGUUUCGUUUUGAAAGGCGCUUUACGGUGCCGCUGAUGGAUGGACCCGCGGUGCAUUAGCUAGUUGGUGAGGUAACGGCUCACCAAGGCCACGAUGCAUAGCCGACCUGAGAGGGUGAUCGGCCACAUUGGGACUGAGACACGGCCCAAACUCCUACGGGAGGCAGCAGUAGGGAAUCUUCGGCAAUGGACGAAAGUCUGACCGAGCAACGCCGCGUGAGUGAAGAAGGUUUUCGGAUCGUAAAACUCUGUUGUUAGAGAAGAACAAGGGUGAGAGUAACUGUUCACCCCUUGACGGUAUCUAACCAGAAAGCCACGGCUAACUACGUGCCAGCAGCCGCGGUAAUACGUAGGUGGCAAGCGUUGUCCGGAUUUAUUGGGCGUAAAGCGAGCGCAGGCGGUUUCUUAAGUCUGAUGUGAAAGCCCCCGGCUCAACCGGGGAGGGUCAUUGGAAACUGGGAGACU